GGAGGCAGCACUCAGUGGCAGACAAGGGGAGUGAAACUACAAAAUAAGAGCACCAGACAGCAACUUAAACAGCACACACUCGGGGAAAACAGUCAUCAGAGUCUGGAUUAAAAACUUAAUCGCUGUUUUUGCAGGGUCCCUUGCGAAGGGCAGAGAUGGGCAUCGCCACCACCCGCCGACUGGUGCUGAAGAAAUGUACGGGACCGACCUUCAAGUUGUACAGAGCGGUCAAGCGAACAUGUUUAUGUCAACCAGCAAGUUUUCGGAUGGGAAAUUAAGUCAGCUCUUACCGGAGACUUCAGUGGAUUAUGGGACCUCCUGCAGCAGCUGUCAAAAAAGCAGCUGUGUUCUUGGCUUCUCUCAAAGACACUGGCGUUCACCGCAGCCAUCCGACUCUCAGCACAUUCCCGACAUUACGAGACUGGAGGCUAAGUUCACACUCUGCCAGGAAGCUUCGUCCGGUCAAGGGUGAUCAGGAUGGUGCCAACCCUGCCGUGGCAAACGGGGAGUAAUAAAAUGAACAUUAAAAGGUA